rnacentral:sRNA from 1 species
AAUUCCAAUAAUAUACUAAAGUUAAAUUAAAAAUAACCAAAACAUUUGACAAAUAUUUAUAAUAAUUAUUAUUACAAAAUCUAAAAUAAUUUGAUUUCGCAAUCUCAUUGGAGAUAAUUGUUUUUGGGAUAUUAAUCCCUCUCUCUCUCUGGUUGGAUUUGGAGAAACCUAUGUAAACUUAAGAGUAUCGCUAAGGUCAACUCCAUUGCACAAAUAAUAUAAGGGUCUUUAGAUACUAAAUGAAUAAAAUAAUAAGGUAAAUAUCUUUAAAUUGGUGCACAGAAAUAAAUUAUGUCUUUGGGGAGACAUUAAAGAUAUUUUUUAGAAACAUCUUUGCUUAGGUGGCAAUAUGUCAUUGGUUCUUCUUUUGUUCUUUUAUUUUAAUCACAACUAAAGAUAUCCACUUAAAUUUGUGCAAUGUAGAUGCUCUAAACCUUUCAUUGUUUGUCAGGUGGAUUCUGAGAUUACUUGUAACUUUUGUAACUUAGGAUCUUCUCUUAGAUUUGACUGGUCCUACAGAUCCUAUAAUUUCUAGUCUCUCGUUAGGUUCUGUGGUUGUGGAAGCUAUUAAGUGUGGAGAAUGGUGGCUCUCUAAUAGCAGAAGUAGGAACCCGAUCAUUCAGAUUCUUCGUCAAUGCCUCCCUAAUCCACAUGCGAUUAAUCCUCUAGCGAAGAGGACAUUUAUCAGUAGAACAUCAGAGAUAAUGUCCCUCCAGGGAGCAGCGUUGCCUUAGCUCCUCUGUUUCUUUCUUGUUUACUU